rnacentral:rRNA from 1 species
GUCGAACGUGAAAGCACUUCGGCGUGAGUAGAGUGGCGGACGGGUGAGUAACGCGUGGGAAUCUACCCAGUAGUGGGGGACAACUACCGGAAACGGUAGCUAAUACCGCAUACGCCCUAUGGGGGAAAGGCUUCGGCCGCUAUUGGAUGAGCCCGCGUCAGAUUAGCUAGUUGGUAGGGUAAAGGCCUACCAAGGCAACGAUCUGUAGCUGGUCUGAGAGGACGAACAGCCACACUGGGACUGAGACACGGCCCAGACUCCUACGGGAGGCAGCAGUGGGGAAUAUUGGACAAUGGGCGAAAGCCUGAUCCAGCAAUGCCGCGUGUGUGAAGAAGGCCUGCGGGUUGUAAAGCACUUUCAGUUGGGAAGAUGAUGACGUUACCAACAGAAGAAGCACCGGCUAAAUCCGUGCCAGCAGCCGCGGUAAUACGGAUGGUGCGAGCGUUAAUCGGAAUUACUGGGCGUAAAGCGCGCGUAGGCGGCUAAGUCAGUCAGAAGUGAAAGCCCCGGGCUCAACCUGGGAAUUGCUUUUGAUACUGCUUAGCUAGAGUUUGGUAGAGGAUAGUGGAAUUCCAGGUGUAGCGGUGAAAUGCGUAGAUAUCUGGAGGAACAUCAGUGGCGAAGGCGACUGUCUGGACCAAAACUGACGCUGAGGUGCGAAAGCGUGGGUAGCAAACAGGAUUAGAUACCCUGGUAGUCCACGCCGUAAACGAUGUCAACUAGCCGUCGGGUCUAUUUACAGACUUGGUGGCGCAGCUAACGCGAUAAGUUGACCGCCUGGGGAGUACGGGCCGCAAGGUUAAAACUC